rnacentral:rRNA from 1 species
CCUACGGGAGGCAGCAGUGGGGAAUAUUGGUCAAUGGGCGGAAGCCUGAACCAGCCAAGUAGCGUGCGGGAUGAAGGCCCUACGGGUCGUAAACCGCUUUUGCACGGGGAUAAGACCCUCCACUUGUGGAGGUCUGCAGGUACCGUGCGAAUAAGGGCCGGCUAAUUCCGUGCCAGCAGCCGCGGUAAUACGGAAGGCCCGAGCGUUAUCCGGAUUCAUUGGGCUUAGAGGGAGCGUAGGCGGGGGUGCAAGUCAGCUGUAAAAUCGCGUGGCUCAACCGCGCCCCGCAGUUGAAACUGGACGCCUUGAGUGCACAACAGGCAGGUGGAAUUCGUGGUGUAGCGGUGAAAUGCAUAGAUAUCACGAGGAACCCCGAUGGCGAAGGCAGCCCGCCGGGGUGCGACUGACGCUGAGGCUCGAAGGUGCGGGUAGCAAACAGGAUUAGAUACCCGUGUAGUC